rnacentral:tRNA from 1 species
AGAAACUUAGGUUACUCUAAACCAAAGACCUUCAAAGUCUUAAACAAAACGAAUGUUUUAGUUUCUG